rnacentral:rRNA from 1 species
CCUACGGGAGGCAGCAGUCGAGAAUUAUUCACAAUGGGGGAAACCCUGAUGGUGCGACGCCGCGUGGGGGAAUGAAGGUCUUCGGAUGGUAAACCCAUGUCAUGUGGGAGCAAAUUAAAAAGAUAGUACCACAAGAGGAAGAGACGGCUAACUCUGUGCCAGCAGCCGCGGUAAGAGACAGGUGUCAAGCGUGGUUGGGAAUCACUGGGCGUAAGGCGUGCGUAGGCGGUUUUGUAAGUCGUGUGUGAAAGGCGCGGGCUCAACCCGCGGACGGCACAUGAUACUGCGAGACUAGAGUAAGGGAGGGGGAACCGGAAUUCUCGGUGUAGCAGUGAAAUGCGUAGAUAUCGAGAGGAACACUCGUGGCGAAGGCGGGUUCCUGGACAUUAACUGACGCUGAGGCACGAAGGCCAGGGGAGCGAAAGGGAUUAGAUACCCGUGUAGUC